GGAAUCUUCCACAAUGGGCGCAAGCCUGAUGGAGCAACACCGCGUGAGUGAAGAAGGGUUUCGGCUCGUAAAGCUCUGUUGUUGGAGAAGAACGUGCGUGAGAGUAACUGUUCACGUUUCGACGGUAUCUAACCAGAAAGCCACGGCUAACUACGUGCCAGCAGCCGCGGUAAUACGUAGGUGGCAAGCGUUAUCCGGAUUUAUUGGGCGUAAAGGGAACGCAGGCGGUCUUUUAAGUCUGAUGUGAAAGCCUUCGGCUUAACCGGAGUAGUGCAUUGGAAACUGGGAGACUUGAGUGCAGAAGAGGAGAGUGGAACUCCAUGUGUAGCGGUGAAAUGCGUAGAUAUAUGGAAGAACACCAGUGGCGAAAGCGGCUCUCUGGUCUGUAACUGACGCUGAGGUUCGAAAGCGUGGGUAGCAAACAGGA
rnacentral:misc_RNA from 1 species